CACACAAAAGUAGCUAUGUUGACAGCAGGGUAGUGCACAAAAAUUGCGAUGAUCCCAUGAAAAUCAGGACACUUAGGAGCGAACCAAAAGGCAUGAAUUUCAAUCAGAAUCUAGCAAGAGGUUGCAUCAAAACAAUUUUCAUAUUCUUCUGCUGGUCUAAAAACCCUGGAUACUAACUGUUUGCUGAACAAGUUUAAAGGUCGCUAAAACAAAAAUACUUGCACAGAUGGCAGACAGAAAUCAGCUAGUGAAAAGCUAAGAUGGUUAAAGCUAUGGUAGACUUUAUAGCGCAUAUUUUACCAUUCUUCUUAUUGGAGUCACACAAUGAAGCCAUGUAACAACGUAUUUGGUGGUGUCUCUGAUGAC